rnacentral:rRNA from 1 species
GAUGAACGCUGGCGGCGUGCCUAAUACAUGCAAGUCGAGCGAACAGACGAGGAGCUUGCUCCUCUGACGUUAGCGGCGGACGGGUGAGUAACACGUGGAUAACCUACCUAUAAGACUGGGAUAACUUCGGGAAACCGGAGCUAAUACCGGAUAAUAUAUUGAACCGCAUGGUUCAAUAGUGAAAGACGGUUUUGCUGUCACUUAUAGAUGGAUCCGCGCCGCAUUAGCUAGUUGGUAAGGUAACGGCUUACCAAGGCAACGAUGCGUAGCCGACCUGAGAGGGUGAUCGGCCACACUGGAACGGAGCCACGGUCCAGACUCCUAAGGGAGGCAGCAGUAGGGAAUCUUCCGCAAUGGGCGAAAGCCUGACGGAGCAACGCCGCGUGAGUGAUGAAGGUCUUCGGAUCGUAAAACUCUGUUAUUAGGGAAGAACAAAUGUGUAAGUAACUAUGCACGUCUUGACGGUACCUAAUCAGAAAGCCACGGCUAACUACGUG